GAAGUAACUCCGCCUGUGCCAGUGCCUUGUCAUUACACAGCCGGUCCCAAGCCCGGAUAAAGGAGGAGGGUUGU
rnacentral:ribozyme from 3 species